rnacentral:rRNA from 1 species
GACGUAGGAGGCGAGCGUUGUCCGGAUUCAUUGGGCGUAAAGAGCGCGCAGGCGGCUUGGUAAGUCGGAUGUGAAAUCCCGAGGCUCAACCUCGGGUCUGCAUCCGAUACUGCCCGGCUAGAGGUAGGUAGGGGAGAUCGGAAUUCCUGGUGUAGCGGUGAAAUGCGCAGAUAUCAGGAGGAACCCCUAUUGCGAAGGCAGCUCGCUGGGACGUUCUGACGCUGAGACGCGAAAGCGUGGGGAGCAAACAGG